GCGAUAUGAAGCAUUUAAUUAGAUAGUUAAUAAUUGAAGAUAAAUUAAGGGCAACUUGGUGCAAAACCAAGGCAGUCCCGCUACUGUGAAUCCGCCAGCAGGCGGACAAGCCAGAAAACCUUAAUUUAUUAUGUAAGUCCU
rnacentral:ncRNA from 2 species